rnacentral:rRNA from 1 species
CCUACGGGAGGCAGCAGUGGGGAAUAUUGGGCAAUGGGCGCAAGCCUGACCCAGCAACGCCGCGUGAAGGCAGAAGGCUUUCGGGUUGUAAACUUCUUUUAAGAGGGAAGAGCAGAAGACGGUACCUCUUGAAUAAGCCAUGGCUAACUACGUGCGAGAUGCCGCGUUAAUACGUAGGUGGCAAGCGUUGGCCGGAUGUACUGGGUGUAAAGGGAGUGCGGCCGGGAAGACAAGUCAGAUGUGAAAUCCCGCGGCUCAACCGCGGAACUGCAUUUGAAACUGUUUUUCUUGAGUACCGGAGAGGUCGUCGGAAGUCCUUGUGUAGCGGUGAAAUGCGUAGAUAUAAGGAAGAACACCAGUUGCGAAGGCGGAUGACUGGACGGCAACUGACGGUGAGGCGCGAAAGCGUGGGGAGCAAACAGGAUUAGAUACCCGAGUAGUC